GCGUGGUUAGCUCAGUGGUAGAGCAUCGCCUUCACACGGCGGGGGUCGGGGGUUCGAAACCCUCACCACGCACCA
rnacentral:tRNA from 3 species